CCUACGGGAGGCAGCAGUGAGGAAUAUUGGUCAAUGGUCGGGAGACUGAACCAGCCAAGCCGCGUGAGGGAGGAAGGUACAGAGUAUCGUAAACCUCUUUUUUCAGGGAACAAAGGCGGGGACGUGUCCCCGGCUGAGUGUACCUGAAGAAAAAGCAUCGGCUAACUCCGUGCCAGCAGCCGCGGUAAUACGGAGGAUGCGAGCGUUAUCCGGAUUUAUUGGGGUUAAGGGGGGCGCGGGCGGGCUGUUAAGCCGGCGGUCAAACCGCGGGGCUCAACCCCGGCCCGCCGUUGAAACUGGCAGUCUCGAGUUGGAGAGAAGUAUGCGGAAUGCGCGGUGUAGCGGUGAAAUGCAUAGAUAUCACGCAGAACUCCGAUUGCGAAGGCAGCAUACCGGCGCUCAACUGACGCUGAUGCACGAAAGUGUGGGUAUCGAACAGGAUUAGAUACCCCAGUAGUC
rnacentral:rRNA from 1 species